rfam:Dipodomys ordii contig_13462, whole genome shotgun sequence.
UGGCUCAGUGGUAGAGUGCUUGCCUUGCAUGCAUGAGGCCUUGGGUUCGAUUCCUCA